UACGUAGGUGGCAAGCGUUGUCCGGAUUUACUGGGCGUAAAGAGCGCGCAGGCGGUCGUUCAAGUCGCGUGUGAAAGCCCCCGGCUCAACUGGGGAGGGUCACGCGAUACUGAUCGACUCGAAGGCAGGAGAGGGUAGUGGAAUUCCCGGUGUAGUGGUGAAAUGCGUAGAUAUCGGGAGGAACACCAGUGGCGAAGGCGACUACCUGGCCUGUUUCCUGACGCUGAGGUGCGAAAGCCAGGGGAGCGAACGGG
rnacentral:rRNA from 1 species